CCCCGCCCAGCCAGCCGCCCCGACCGGGAGGAAGGUGGGGGGCCAGCCCCCCCACCCGGCUGGCCGCCCCAUCCGGGAGAUUCCAGUAAUGUUUCGCUCAACUUUCCCUGGAGCCUUCGCCCGCAGUCUCCUCAAGGCCCUGCCAGCUUUCACGCACGGUCUCACUGAGGGUGUCAGGCGCCUCCCACACACGUUAGGUUCUGCUACGGCAGUGCCUCACUUCCAGGUACCAAAUCCUGUUCCAGGCAUCUGUUGCUGCAUAGCAAAUGACUUCAAGCUUAGUGGCAUAAAACCACAACCAUUUUAUUAUUCUCACGGAUUCUGUGGAUUAGGAAUUUGGAUAGGGCAUGGAGGAGAUGGAUUUUUAAUGCUCCAUGAGGUCUUGGACCUCAACCAGGAAGACUGGGUGCACAGGAGCUGGAACAGCUGAAGUUGGAGAAUCCACUUCCAGGAUGGUUCUUCCUGCCUACAGCUGCCAGCCUGGCAGGCGUGGCUGGGAGGCUGGCUCAGCUGGGUCUCUUGGCUGGAGCACCACACGUGGCCUCUCUGGCAUGGCAGCCUCGGGAAAUUUGACUUCUUACAUAGUGGCUCAGGAGAAAAAGAAGCCAACAGGGGGACAGCAGUGAUGCGGGACAGGCGAGACUCACUCCUUUUGGCAGGGUUUCCCCAGAUAAAGCAAGCAGAGAGUGUGGAGGGGAGUGGAGGAUGAGAAGCUGGGAAGAAAGCAUCUUAGCCAUCCGUGGUGUGUGUGUGUGCGCACACACGCAUGUGCAUGUGUGUGUGUGCAGGCACACACACAAAAUCUGUGAGGGCAAACAGGUUUGCUGGGAGUAGCCAGACUUGAGUAAAGACAGAUGGUAUAAGUGAGCUGGAUGAGGUUGCUCAGCUCUGGGAUUUCUCCAGUCUCACUGGGGGCUGGGUACUGUAUGUGAAGACUGUCCCAUGGGUGGGGGAUGCGUACAGAGGCCACCACGGGGCAGUAGCAGCCAGAAGAGAAUGAAUGGUGUAAAGGGUUGAAUAGGGGCCCCCUCAAGAGAGAUAUGUCCAAGUUCUAAACCCCUGUACCUGUGAAUGUGACCUUUUUUGGAAAUAGGAUCUUUUUCCAAAUAAAGAUCUUGAGAUGAGAUCAUCCUAGAUUUAUUGUAAGCCUUAAAUCCAGAGACAGGUAUCCUUCUAGGAGGACGGAGAGGGAGCUUCAAGACACAGAGACACAGAGGAGAAGGCCAUAUGAAGAUGGAGGCAGAGACUGGAGGCGCCAUUGCCAAGCAACACUGCGGAUCACCUGCAGCUGCCAGAGGCUUGGAAAGUGCUUGCCACAGGCCCUCCCUCAGAGCCUCCAGCAGGAACCCACCCUGCUGACACCUUGGCUUCAGGCUUCCAGCCUCCACAGCUGUGGUGAAAUGAAUCACUGUUGUUUUGAGCCACCCAGUUUGUGGCAAUUUGUAUGGCAGUCCUAGGAAAGCUAACAGGCAGUCCAGCCCCUGCCCCUCAACAUUUUGCACACUUUGAGCCCUGAUCCAGGGAUCUUCCCUUUCCCCGGCGACACGGCUCAGCACUGCUUCCCCGGUGGGGCUGCAUCUUCUCAGGACCCACGGCUGCACGGUCUCGAGCCACAGUGCCUGGUUUCUCUCUUGCACCACCGUUGGUAUCUUCUCCCUGUCCUAUCUCUCACAAUCUGUGGAAGUGCUUUGUAUGCAGUGAGCGCUUAAUAAAAGUCACUUUUCUCUCCUCAGAGUCCUCUAACUCUUGCCCCAGCCACUU
rnacentral:lncRNA from 1 species